ensembl:lncRNA
CUGGGCAUGCGCACGUUGGAGUCAAGGUUCGCGGCUGCGUACCCUGUGGCGGGAAACGCUGUUUGAAGCUGCCUCUCACUGUGCAACCCAGGCUGCCCUUGAACUCAUGGUGAUCCCCUCCUGCCUCAGCCUCCCAAGUGCUAAGAUUACAGGUAUGCCUGCCUUGCCUUUUGAAGAACAUGCUGGCAGCUGAGUGGAGAUUGGGUUGUAGCAGGAAUAGGAGUAAAGGCGGCUCCUGGCUUGGGGUGAUCAGUGGGCCAGAUGGGAAAGGCUGAGGGGCAAGCAGGCUUGGGGUGCCACUCUGAAGGCAGAGGCCUGAGCCCCCCAGAGGCCUGCUCUUGCCUUAAGUCUGGUCCCUCUUUCCUACACUUCCUCCACCCAGGUCUCUUACACCCCUUAGAGAUCAUCCUUCUCCACUCCUGGCCUUUGCUGACCUUGGGGAGCUGUGAUAAUUCAGUCUGGUGUGGAAGGGACAAGAGAUCUCACCUCAGGGGUGCUCUGAGGUGUUAGUCAGUGCUGGUCUUUGGAAGCCAGAGCAGAACCUGGGCACUGAGGGACAUCUCAGCAAAGUUGGUGAUGCUCGCUGGGAAUCUGAACUCACCUGUGGUCUAGGCACCGUGCUGGGUGAUGCUGGGGCCCCUGCUUGGGUGAGACCCUGAUCCUGUUUUCAAGAGCUCCCAGGCUGAGAUGGUCCAGCUUGGGAUUCACAUGUGUGAUGACAGAUGUCAUGUUGUGGGAGGCACUGUGGGAGCCCAGGGGUGGCCAGCCUGGAGGAGCUGAGCUUGAGCUGAGACUCAGGAAGUUCAGGGUUGAGCCCCUGAGAGAGGGGAUUUAUCCAGCUCAUGCUUCCAGAGAUCAGCUGGGGGCCAGAGAAGAGUCAGGCCCCUCCCUUCCCUCUGGAGGCCCCGUCUGGUGAGGGAGGCAGACAGGCAGCCAGUCCACAGGCAGCGCAGUCAGAGAGGCCCAGAGAAGGAAGCCCAAGGCCAGAGUGGGAGAGUACACAGGUGUCUGUAGGAUGCACGUGGGUAGUUUCACUGUGAUCAUUUAAUUGUGCCUGUUGAGCCCCUCUGUCCCAGCGGGUUCUCCUAGGUACAGGAGCUGUCUCAGGAAGCCAGAGACAAAUCCCUGCUGUCACAGAGCUCCUGUCCUAGUAGUGGAGACAAAUGGUGAGGAAGAUAAGUGAGCGGUGCUCCUUGGGCCUGAGUGGGUUGGAAUUCUGGGAGCUUGUUCUUUUUUUUUUGGUACCAGGGAUCGAACUUAGGAUCUUGCGCUUUCGAGGCAGGUGCCGGAACCACUGAGCUAAAUCCCUGGCCUGGUCUGACCUGUUUGUACAGAAUCCCUCUGGCUGCCAUAGGUGAGGACAGGGAAGACACUGAUCUCUCCAGCCCUCUCUGCACCUGGCCUGGCAGAGGCUCCCUGGGACCUCAGGGGGCCGCCCUGCGCUGAGCUCACUGCCCAGCAGGGGGAGACCACGAGCAGCCUCAGGAGGACCUGGGUAGCCGCAGGGCUGAGCCACGGAAUGGGUGGGAUGUGUGAGGGCGAGAGAGAAAUUGGGGUGACUCAAGGGUGUUGGGGUUGCGAAAUUAUGGGAUGUGAGGAGCGGUUGGGGAGCUCAGCUUUGGGUGUGAGAUGCUUGAAGGGACGUACUCGGUGGGGAUGUGGCGCCGUGGCUCUUCCCCCUGGGGGAGGCGGGAGAAGCGGGCAGUGGGCAGUCGGCAGUCGGUGUGCAGGGCUGGCCUGCAUGUGGGAGCCCUGGGCUCCAUACCUGUGCGGGCACGGGCUGGGCAACACUGUCAGAUUGGUGAGAUGGGCCAGGGCAUCGUGAGGUCACUGAAAACUAGCACACGAGCCCAGGCGCCUGUUAUUCAGUACUGGGGCCGCUGGGCAGGUGCUACUGAAGGGCCCCAAGAGGCCGAGCAGGAGGCAGGCCUGGGGCAUGCAUGCAGGGCCUGUCCUUCCGCACGGUGGGGAACUGCGCAGGCGCAAGGAACAGCGGCCCACGGAGGGUUCUGAGAUGCGGCCGGG